rnacentral:rRNA from 1 species
GACGAACGCUGGCGGCGUGCUUAACACAUGCAAGUCGAACGCUGAAGCUUGGUGCUUGCACUGGGUGGAUGAGUGGCGAAAGGGUGAGUAAUACGUGAGUAACCUGCCCUUGACUCUGGGAUAAGCCUGGGAAACUGGGUCUAAUACUGGAUACGACAUGUCACCGCAUGGUGGUGUGUGGAAAGGGUUUUACUGGUUUUGGAUGGGCUCACGGCCUAUCAGCUUGUUGGUGGGGUAAUGGCUCACCAAGGCGACGACGGGUAGCCGGCCUGAGAGGGUGACCGGCAACACUGGGACUGAGACACGGCCCAGACUCCUACGGGAGGCAGCAGUGGGGAAUAUUGCACAAUGGGCGGAAGCCUGAUGCAGCGACGCCGCGUGAGUGAUGACGGCCUUCGGGUUAUAAACCUCUUUCAGCACGGAAGAAGCGAAAGUGACGGUACGUGCAGAAGAAGCGCCGGCUAACUACGUG